GCUUCAAUAGUUUAAAACAAAACAUUGGUCUUGUAAACCAAAAAUAAAUUAUAAGUUUUAUAAGCU
rnacentral:tRNA from 1 species